GUCUUUGCUCCAUUAAAUCAAAGAAUAACUGUAACAACUACAGCUUAACAGUAGGUCUACAAGUAUCUUAACUUAGACUGUCUAAAAUGCUGUUUGAGCAGUGUUAUGGAUUGAGAACUGGUGGUCAACUUAACGCCAGCUGAAUUACAUCAGCAUGCAUUGAGCGAAGAUGCUCCACCUGAGGAGGGUUGCCAGGAUAAAUAGGUGGAGAAGAAGAGAGGUGUUGGAGGGUUGAGGUGUUAAGGAGGCAUUGUGGGUACUCCUCCGAGUUGCUGUCUGAGCUGUUGGUUCUCCUGGAGAAGCUUUGGUCCUCACAUUGAGCAUUGCUUUCUGGCUCCAGAGGGGAAGACAUGUGCUGCUUGGUCUCCAGGAUGAACUCGUCACGCUGCUUCCUGCCAUGCCACAAUUCUAUCAUAUGGUUCCCUGACCAGGAACAGCAGAUGAGCGACUCCUGGGAUCCUCCCAGUCUGAGUCCCCUGCUGUCACAGACCAAACUGCAUCCUGGAUUAAUUCCUCACUACUUCUACACUCAGGAGCUGUAAACUUGUUGCCAAUAGUUCGCAAACAACACCGGCCCAAUUUAUCACAGGGGAAGUGUCGACUUUCUACUCAUCACCCCACCACAGCCCAGACUGCUUACAUCCCAUGUUCAUCUCUCUCUCACUCCACUGGCCACAGAGGAAGAAGAAUUGUGCUGUUCCACUCACUACCUUCACUGAAGCACUGCAGUCCCUAACCUUUUAGUCGCUGGAGAUUCCAGUUAGUACCUACUGUGCAGGACACAAAAAAGAAGAACAAAACUGGGGACACAUUGUGGAGGCAGCAGGUUUCUGGUCACUUGCCUCUGUGAGUGCUGGCGAAAUUUGCUGCCAGACUGAAGCAUCCUCUGUUUGGAACAAGGCUAAAGAGUUGCUUCAAGGUUCAAGGGGUGAAAAGAUUCGAUCCAUCACACUCACUGUGAUGCACUGCCCUCACCAGAGGUAGAGGACCGUAAGGACACUUGAUCUUGGACUGGUACCUCCAAACCUGUACACUAACAGUUCCUAAAAAUAAAGAAGUCCCAGAAGACUUUAUAACACCCUGUACAAAAAAAAAUCUCUCUGAAGAGCAAAUACUGGAGUGAUGAUGAAAUUUAGGAAGAUUUAUUUUUAUUUAGAAAGGGUUUAACAAAAGUUGGAUGAGCAUUUAUUCCUGCAAGUUAAAGACAGCGGGAAGACCUAAGUUGCAAUCAAACAUGAUCCAUGCUUUGGACUAACUAGUUCUCUGAGGUCGGAGCCUGGAGAAGGAAGAAGAGAGAAUUAUAUUAGUACCCAUCGCUUCCUGAACACAAAACAGUUAUGAUUUGAAAAUAUGGUAAAUGAUUAAAUUUUUAAAAAAUGUAUUAUGGUAAAAGAGAUGUUAGUCCCCCUCACUAUGACCCUCUUUCUUCAAACACACUUAUUCUAUCUCUUUGCCACUUUCUGAAACAGUUCUGGGACUCCUGUCUCUCGAGUGUCUUUAGUUGUGUGGUCAGACUGCUUGAAAGUCCUGAAUUGAUCCAAAACAUUUACCUUUUGUGGUCAUUUUGGUUUUGGGGAAAGAGCCAAAACUCACACUGUGCCAGAUCUGGUGAAUAAGGCAGACAAGGACACACCACGCGCUUUUACAAGCCUGCCUUUUUCCUGGCUGGCACUCAGCAGCUGCAUUCACUGUAUUUUUGGUCACUUCUUAUAAAGGCACUCAGACAAGAGCUUCCAGAAUUGCUUCAAUGAGUAGCUACCCUCACUCUGCCUUAAAGAGUGCUCUAAUACUUCAGUUUAAGCCACAGAAUGGCUCUGAAGUUAGUGUCAUUAUUGUUUGUUGUAAGUGAGGCACUGAACUUCAAGCUAAAGUGCUUUGCCUAUAGUUACAGAGCUUGUAAGGAAAAAGCCUGAUUUUAAAUGCAGGUAGUUUGCCUCCAGAUCUGUGAACAAGCCUCUCUACAACAGGGCUAGGAGACCACAUACGAAUCACCCCAGUGCUUCCAGUGCAUUGCAGUCCCUGGAUUUUUCCUCUGCUCAGGCUAGAAUGGCAGGCUGAUUUAGCGAGAGAUCGCUUGCUCUCUGAUCCUGGUUACAGAGCUUGUUAUUAAAAUAAAUAAGACGUUUAAAACCAGAGCCAAAACUAUGAAACUUUUAUGACCUAUCUUUUAGUCAAGAUGCUGUACUGUGGAAGAAUGUCAAAAGAAGUUCUUAUGAAAUCACAUCUUUUAGACCUUCCAUAUAAUUUCUUUCUCUUUAUUGGAGUCAAGAAAGGUAAAAAUAACAGUGUUUUAUUUUCACUGGAAAUAUUAUAAUCUCAACUGGGGCAAGAAUUGAGAAAUGUCUGUUGAGCAAGUUUUUGCUCCACACUAUGAUUUGAUGCAGAAAGGGCAACAUGUGAUUUGCUAUAUUUUUAAUAUUUGCUAACAGUUGUAUAAUUUAUCAUAAUUCAACCUGUGCUCAUCAUAAUACACUAAAUCUUAAUAACAGAAUCACUCAUCUCAGUAAUUUUCAAGAAUUCCUUGUUGCAUACCUCAAAUUGCAUUGUUACUAAACAAAAGAUAUAAAAGUAAUUUGGUGUCAGAUUUAUGCCUUUCAUGAGUUACACCCAAUCCAACCUCAACAAAUGGAAGAGUGACACAAGCCUUUUACUUGUAGUACAGAUUUUAAAAGACCACUCUGUUGUUAAUAUUUAGCCUUACUAUCUUACCAUUAUAAUUUCAAAAAAAACCAAAGGCAAUAUUUACCCAUGCUGGCUGGGAAUAGGAAGUACAUUUCAGAUAAAAUUAUUGCUUUGGCCUUCUCCUAAGAGGCAUUUUAGAAUGUAGUCUUAGCAAGAAACCUUACCAUAGUCUCUUAAAUGAAAUGCACUGUGGGAAAGAGAAACUUUCAAGAAGACUGAAAGUCCAAGGGGUAUUUACAUUCUCAAAUGUGAUUUUUUGAUGGAUUCCAUGUUCCACAAAGAGAUGAAUUGUGCACUUAGAGAUAUUCAUUUUAUUUUUUGCCAAUUUUUAUUAUCUGUUUUAUAUCAUGACUAAAGUGUACGUCUUGGUUAAGUUUCAGAACAUGAUUUAGGAUGACCAAGUGUGCUGGCUGCCUCGGGUUGAGGGAUUUUUUGUGAUGUGGGAUUUUCAGUGCUAAAAUCAGGACAAGUCCAGGAAAAUCAGAACAGUUGGUCACUCCAGGAUGAUGUGUUUUCUUUUUGUUUUUCUUUGCUUUUGACCUGAAUACAGCUCCAUGUUUAAACAAACCAGGGAAGACUUCCAUCCCUUGUCUGCAGAAUCAUAAUUUCCUGAGAUCUCAGACAUCUGUUAUUUUGAAAGUUACAGACCUUUCUGGCUAAUGUGAUGAGUAGCCAGGCUUGACAGUAUCUGAGACAGUGAAAGCAGCUAAUGAUAUCAAUGGAAAUUGCAAAAAUAAAAAUUUUCUUUUUCUAAGUUAUUGCAGUAUCACUGCAGGUAUGUAUUUAAAAACACAAAAGAAUGGCUUCUGUGAUGAGAAAACCUGCUAAAAAUCUUAAUUCACAAAGUGCACACUUUUUUGAAAUGAGAAUUUUAUACAAAACUCCAGAGACUAAAACAUCAGCUACCUAAGUGGCUUUGAAAAAUUGGGGCUGGGGGCUGGGGAUUUAGCUCAGUGGCAUAAGCGCCUGCCUUGGAAGCAGGCAGUCGUGAGUUCGAUCCCUGGUACCGAUAAAAAAAAAGGAAAAAAAAAAAAAAAAAGACAAAAGAAAAAUUGGGGAUGACAUUUAGGUUAGAUUAUCUUGCUGUGACUUCCUUCCAUCUCCCACGGCCCAAGGAGGGAGACAUAGUAAAUAGUACUCUGAACCGCUUCCUUCACUCUCAAAAUCUGCAAAUAAAAUGUUAGAUUUUCUUAAUUCACACUUCAGAUGUCUAAUUUUUUUUAAACUGAGGUUUAGAUUUUUCAUUAUAAUUCAUACUUAUUCAAGAACAUUUGAAAAGAA